GGAGGAAGUAGGGGAUCGCAAGACCUUGCGCUUUUGGAGCGGCCGAUGUCUGAUUAGCUUGUUGGUAAGGUAAAAGCCUACCAAGGCUUCGAUCAGUAGCUGGUCUGAGAGGACGACCAGCCACACUGGGACCGAGACACGGCCCAGACUCCUACGGGAGGCAGCAGUGGGGAAUUUUGGACAAUGGGGGCAACCCUGAUCCAGCCAUGCCGCGUGAGUGAAGAAGGUCUUUGGGUUGUAAAGCUCUUUCAGCCGGAACGAAACGGUUACGGUUAAUACCCGUGACUACUGACGGUACCGGAAGAAGAAGCACCGGCUAACUACGUGCCAGCAGCCGCGGUAAUACGUAGGGUGCGAGCGUUAAUCGGAAUUACUGGGCGUAAAGCGUGCGCAGGUGGUUUUGUAAGUCAGAUGUGAAAUCCCCGGGCUCAACCUGGGAACUGCGUUUGAAACUACAAAGCUAG
rnacentral:rRNA from 1 species